rnacentral:lncRNA from 1 species
CUUGGCCUCCCUGCAUGCAGGGGGUCACUCAAGGAUCCUGGCCUGGCUUGUUCCCAGGACUGUGUGGGUGGGGCGUGGGUGUGGGUGCUCGCUUAGUCCCAGGCUGUGCCACCAGGCUUGCUGGUGUGUUAACCACUGGGAGGAAGUGUAACCUCCUUCACCCCUCCCACUGGGUGUUUUGAGAUGUCACUGGGUAGAAAGGCACCGAGCAAGUGAGGGUGAGCACCAGGACUGCUUGGGAUGUGCUGUCAUGUACAUGCUUGUCACUGAUUGUCACUCAUUCUGCCUGGGUUUCUGAGCUCUAUCUCUGUGUUUCUGAGAGUGUUAUGUUUUACAGUGUGUAGAAAGUGCCCUGAGAUGUGGGCAGGUGGCUGGCUUUUUCACUCACCUGUCAGAGGCCCCUCGUGUGGUGGCUUGCUGGGCACGUCCCGCUGCUAUGUGGUGUGUAGCUGGAGGACACAACUUGGCCUUUGUCCUGAGACCAUGUCUUUGAAUAUUGAUGACUGUGAGCAUCAGCACAGACCUGGCCACCUUCUGUGGACCUUGAGAGUUGGGCCACGGGGUCUCCCCUUCUUAGCUGCUGCUGACCUGCUCUGGGGCAGGUGCCCACACCUUUGUCCCUGCAGUGCUUUGUGUUGUCAGACUUUACCGUGUGUGGACAGUCCAUCCUAAUGCACAUUUCCUGACACAGUAGGGUCAGGCCUCCCUCCCUAUUAGGUUCAUUGUUCAUUUGGGAUUCUCCUACAGGAAUUGUUAGUUUGUGUCUGUGUCCACUGUUCUACUGGGAUGUUGACCUGGUUUCCUCCUCCUCUCCCAGGAUACUAGUCCUUGGUUUGAAAUGUUUGUGUGAAACUUAAAAUUUUAGAUAGGCUCAGUUGAAUAUUGGUUUUAAAGUCUUGUUUUGUGUCUUGGUACCUGGGAUUUACCCAGGAGUGCUUUAUUCCGAGGUACAUCCCUAGACCUUUUUACUUUUUGAGAAAAGGCCUUGCUAAGUUGCUGAGACUGGCCUCAGGCUUGCAGUCCUCCUGUCAGACUCCUGAGUUACUGAAUCACAGGCAAAGUUUUGUUUUAAUAUAGUGGGUUUCUAUGUUUGGGGAUUUGUUUAUCUGUAAUGUAUAUUAUUUUUUAUUAUUAUUAUUUUUUUAGUUGUUGAUAGACCUUUAUUUUUUUUAAUUUAUAUGAGGUGCUGCGAAUUGAACCCAGUGCCUCACACAUACCAGGCAAGUGUGCUACCACUGAUCCCUAGCCCAAGCCCCAACAUAUAUUCUUAGAAUUAAUCCAGGUUAAAGCUGAGGGAUCAUUGACAUCAUUUUCUUUCCCUUCAAAGAAAAAUGAAGCUGGGUGUGGUGGUGCAGAUCUGUUAAUCCCAGCUACUUGGGAGGCUGAGGAGGAUACAGGUUCAAGGCCAGUCUGGGCAACUUACUGAGACCCUGUCUCAAGAUAAAAUUGGAAAAAACAGAAGGGCUGGUGAUACAGCUUAGCAUGCACAAGGCCCUGAGUUUCUUCCCCAGCACUGCCAAAAGAGGGGGGAAGGGGGAAACAGACUGGGGUACAGCUUAGUGGCAGAGCAUGUGCCCGCCCGCACCAGGCCCUGGGUUUCAUCCCUGGCAUGCAAGAGCACACACACAAAGAAGAAGGUAAAAAAGAAAUGGAACUGCAGAGUGAGAGGAGUGGGGACAAAGCUGGGAAGAAGGCCACAGCAAAGAGUCCUAAUCUCGUUUGGAAGUGGAAAGUGGGUCAGGGAGUGGAAACUGAGCAGAAGCGGGUGGAGGUGGUGGUCUGCCAACCUGUUGGGUCCCUGGGGUGGGGAAGGGGCGGUGAGUGAAAGGGGAUCGCUUGCAGGUGCCUCUUUGCUGUCCUGGGGGCAGGUGUCCCCUCAACCUCACCCUGCAGGGGUGACAGGUCUGGAGGACCUAGAGGAAAGCCAAGGACGGUCCCCACCCCAGUGCAGAGAGGGGCUGCAGCUGAAAGGGGGAGAAGAAGAGGGGAUCCUCCAGGGAGACCUGUGAGCUGGACUGGCCUGCUGUGCUUGCCCUCCAGGGAGGCGAGGGCCCUGCUCAUGUCCUGGUCACCAGUGUUCACAUCACUAAUUUUAGGAACCUGACAGCAGCCACUCCAUCCUCUCCCUCAGACUAAUGGCCUCAGAUCCGCCUCGCCCUGUGGAUCUGCCUGUUCUGGACAGCCAUGUGGAGGGACUCGGCCUGUGGUGGUGUGUGUCUGGCUUUUGGCACCCGUGUGGUGCCAGAGUUCCACUUUGUUACAUUUGCAUUGGAGGGACCCGUUUGUGUCUCCACUCGGUUGAUGGACAUUUGGGUGGUUUCCACUUACUAGUCACCCUGAAAAUGCUGUCUCUGAACAUUCACUGUUUCCCAUGGACGUGUUUUCAUUUCUCUCAACUCUCCCUACCUGGGGGUAGAGCCUCUGGGCUGUGUUCAGCUUUUUUAUUUUAUUUUUUCCCAGUGCUCGGGGGUGAACCCAGGGUCUCCCGCAGAUGCUGGGCAAACUCCACCUGUGAGCCACACCCAGCCAGGUUUGGCGCCCUUGGUGCUCAGCUGCAUCAUCUCUUCCCAUCAGUGAGCGCUUCUCAGUUUGUGCUGUCCUCUGGUCGUCCUCUGCACUCGUGUCAGCUGGGACUUCAGUUCCGUCACAUCUCUCCAGCACACUGACUCUGAAGCAUGCAACAGCAGUGCCAGUUUCAGCGUGUCUCCUUGCUCGCGGUGUUUCUUGUGUCUCUGUCUUGCUUGUCUUGAGAAAGAACACUGGCAUUCUUUCUCCAGGGGCCUCAGACUUCCUGUGCCUGGGCUCUCUGCAAGCCAUCCACCGCCUGAACCUCGAGGGCGGGAUUGCAGCUGUCCCCCUGCACCACCCCGUCUCACCCUUUCUUGGUACAGGUUAUUUGGCUUAACUUUCUGGGUGGGUGAUUUUUCCUCAGCACUUUGAGGCCACAGUCCUGUUACCUGAAUCUGUUGCUUCAACAUCUGCUGCUUGUCUGCCAUGCUUUGUACAGGUAAAAUGAGUUUUCUCCCUAGUGCUUUUUAAAAUUUCACAUAGUAGAACUGUUUUUUCCCCUUUUGGUGCAGUUCUGGAAUUUAACCCCUGUAGGCAGCAUGCAGGUGGCUCCGUCUUCCCAGGCCCCCGCCCUUCCCAGGCACACCCAGCAGCCACUCCCUGUCCUCCCUGGCUGGUGUGUGUGAGUGGGGCCAUGCAGCCUGUGGUGUACUGUUGCACAAGGCAUUGUGCCUCUUGAGAGUCAGGUGCCACUGCCCCGCUCUGCGGCAGAGUCCAGUGCACGGAUGACCAUGGGGAGUCUGUUCACCCCUGGAAGCAUGUUUGUAUGUUUUUUUGUUUGUUUGUUUGUUUGUUUUGUUGUUGUUGUUUCAGUUGUAGAUGGACACAAUACCUUUAUUUUACUUGUUUAUUUAUUUAUUUUCAUGUGGUGCUGAGGAUCAAACCCAGUGCCUCACAUGUGCGAGGCAAGCGCUCUACCGCUGAGCCACUACCCCAGCCCCUGUAUGUUUUUUGUUGUUUGUUGAGUUUUGUUUCGUUUUUGCAGUCCUGAAUAGAGCUGCUGUAACAUUGUGUAUGAUGAGCAGGUCUCAUUUCUCUAAGGCAGAGCCUGAGAGUGGGUGGCCUGGUCACACAGUGAAUCAUCUCGCAUAUCUAUUUGCUUUUUGAGACAUGUUCUCACGGUGCUGCCCAGGCUGGUCUCCACUGCUUGGGCUCAAGUGGUCCUCCUGCUUCAGCCUCUCAGCAGCUGGGGCUGGAGGAAUACAUCACCGCGCCUGCUUGGUGAGCACAUUGUCAGACUCCUUCUAGAAGAGCGCGCCUGAGUGGAGCACCACCAUGCUGUGGCUCUGCGGUCCAGGCACUCAGCAGCACUGGGUAGGGUCAGUACUUGGUUGUUCUCAUGAUGCAUGUGCAGGGCUGACUUCUGAAGUGUCCAUUUGCUCCCUGCAUUUCCUGGCUGGCAUUUGUCACAGGGUUGGACUUGCGAAGGCUCCUCUUCCACUGAGUGUGGUGGUAUAGGCUUUUGUUGGGCACUUACCAGGUUGAACAGCUUCCUUCUUCUUUGUAGCUUGCCAGGAGUUUUUUUUUUGUGUUUGUGCUGGGGAUUGAACCCAGGGGUGCUCUAUUACUGAGCUGCUCCCCAGCCCUUUUCAUUUUUUAUUUUGACACAGGGUCUGCUAAGUUUCUGAAGCUGGCUGGAAACUUGCAUCCCUCCUGCCUCACCCUCCCAAGUUGUUGGAGUCACAGGCGCCACCACACCUGGCUGGAAUUUUUUUUUUUUUUUUUUUUUAAUUGUGUGCUCUUUUGUUCAGCGCUUAUUCUCAUGGGAGGGGCUCCAUGUGGCCUUUCUUGGUGAACGCAUUGUGAAUUCACACACUGGUGGCCAUCUGCUGUGCCGGACCAGCCUUGCCUUCCUGGAGUAACCCGUGUGGUGGUGCCUCACCUUUACCUGCUGCUGGGUUUGAUUUGAUGUUUUGUUGACUCUUGGCAUCUGUGUGUGUGAGGUAUACUUGUCUGUGGUUCUCUUUUUGGAUGGUUGUCCCUUAUCCAUGAUUUCACUUUCCCUGAUGUGUUACCUUUGUUCAGCUGUAGUCCAUGAUAUUAAGUGGAAAAUUCCAGAAAUAAGCAAUGCAUAAGUUUCAGGUUGUGUGCCAAUCUGAGGAGCAUGAUGAAAUCUCACCAUCCUUGUACCAUUCUUCUUCUGUGGUGUCCAGAUGUGAACCACCCCUGCGUCCAGCAUGUCCAUGCAUAUGCCCCACCCACCCACAGGCACUGGCAGUACCAAUGCUGUUUGCUUGUAGCCCUUGUUCCUUAGCACUGACCCAAGGUGCAAGAGAAUUCUGCUGGAGGUCAGAAAUGCCCAAGAGAAGCCAUUAAGUGAAAAGUGAAAUACAGUGAGGUUGAGAGAGAGACCACAUUUACAUCACUUUCAUUAUGGUACAUUUUUAUGGUUUUUUUAUUAUGCCAUUGGUUAGUCUCUGAUUGUGCCUAAUUUCUAAAUUGAGCAUUGCCACAGGUGUGCGUGUGUAGGAAAAUACCUAGUAUAUCUAGAAUCUGAUGCCGUCCACAGUUUGUGGCAUCCCCUGGGGGCAUUGGAUCUCAUCUCCCAUGGGUUAGGUAGGGGACUCUGUGUUGUCUUUGUCUGGUUUUGGUGUUAAUUUUCAAAAAAUUGACAGCAGGAGGGCUGGGAUUGUGGCUCAGCGGUAGAGCGCUCGUCUAGCACAUGCAAGGCCCGGGAUUUGAUCCUCAGCACCACAUAAAAAUAAAUAAACAAAAUAAAGGUAUUGUGUUCAACUAUUUCCCCCCCCCUCUCUCUCUCUAUAUAUAUAUUUUUAUAUAUAUAUAUAUAUAUAUAUAUAUAUUUUUUUUUUUUUAAGGAAAAAAGAAAGAAAAUUGAUAGCAGGAGUGAGGUUGUUAGUACAACAAAUACCCCAAAAUGUGAAAGUGGCUUUAGAAUUGGUUCAUGGGUGGGGUGGGGAACCCUGGAAGGAGCAGGCUGGAAAAGGACUCCCAAGACAGUAAAGGCAUCUAGUGAGGGCUCCAACGGAAGUGAGGACCAGGUGUUGGAAACCAAGGAAAGGCCAGCCUUGUUCCAGAGUGGCAAGGGACUUGGGAGACUUUGUCCUGGAGGCUGAGGCAGGAGGGAUGCAAGUUCCUGGCCAGCCUCCCAGGGAUUUGUGGGAGGUGGAACUUAAAGAGAUAUGCAGAUAUGAAAUCUGCAGGCAGGUCAGCAUUCCAGGUACUGCGAGCCUUGGAUUGCACGUAGCUGGGUGUCAGAGGCGAGAGCGAUGUGGAUGGGGAGUUCUAUUUUCAGAAAGGUUAGCAGAAUGUAGUGGCCAGAAGGCUGCCCAGCCUGGCUAUGAGAGAGAAUGAAAGUGCAUUUUCAGGAGAAGAAUCCCAGCGUGGAGCCAAGUGCCUGUGUGUACAGAUGAAGCAUUGGCUGCCCUACCAUGGGCCCAGAGGCCAGGGCUGAAGGAGGGAAAUAUUUCAAAGGAGAGGCCUAGGGUGCCCAGGGGACCUUGGGUUCUGCUUUCCAGGCCCCAAAUUUCUGCCCCCCCACAUUCCUGCACAGCACUCACCAACCAUGACCCACUCAGGCCCAGAUAUGGCUGUAUGUGCUGAUCCAGAAAGUACUGCCAUAAACGCAGGCAGUGCCCAUUGGGUGCUCAUUCUGCAGAUGUGAAGGAUGCAGGAGGAGAGGUUGUGGCAGCCUCCAGCUGGCCUUCAAGGAUAGCAGGGGUACAGAGACAUCACAGGAAAAAAGCCGCUGCAGAGAGUGCCCAGUGGGGCAACCCAAGACCCCAGAACGGUGGGGCCACCGUGGCACAGCUCCUGUCUAGGAGAGCUGCAUAUGAGACUCCAGCACAGCCGUAGUGGCUGCCCAGCCCUACUUGGGGUAUCUGGAAGGCAGGACAGUCAGAGAUUAUACCCCAGCUUUAGGAUUUCGUAGGGUUUGCCCUGUCAGCUUGGCUUGCUUGGGCCCUGUUGUCCCUUUACCUUGCCUGUCCCCCUCCUUGGGAUGGGAGGCUGUCCUGUGGCUGCCCCCACUGCACUUUGUAAGGGCCUAACUAGCCCUGCAGUCUCACGGAGGCGUUGGCCGAUAGCUGAGUCGUGAGUCCUAGCUUGUCUGACUCACAGGGUUCUGCCUUCUUGCCCCUUUUGAGUUGGUGCUGGAAAGAGUUAGGAUUUAGGGUUGGGGUGAAUGUUAUGUUUUAUAGGUGAGAAGGACAUGAGUCUGGGGGACCAGGGGCAGAAUGCUAUGGUUUUAAUGUCUGUCCUGCCAAAAUUCGUGGAAACUUAACUGCCUUGGUGACAGUAAUAAGGGGUGGGGCUCUUAGAGAUACUGGGCAAGAAGGCCUCACCUCUUGGGCAGGCUCAUGCUACUGUGGAAGAGUGGGCUCCCCUCUUGCCUUCUCUCACCUUCCACCAGUGGUACCCAGCAGGAAGCCCUCCCGUGGGCAAGCCCCUUGCUCUGGGACUCCUAGCCUUCACAACUGUGUCUUAAUAAACUUCUGUCCAUUGUGGAUUACUCAAUCUCCUGUAAUCUUUUAUCGAGCAGAAAUGAACUAAGACUGAUUAUUUGCCUCCCACCCAAAAUUCAUUAUGUUAAAACACAUCCCCAGUGUGAUGGGAGUUGGAGGUG